UACGGAGGGGGCGAGCGUUGUCCGGAAUCACUGGGCGUAAAGGGCGCGUAGGUGGCGCGAGUAGUCAACGGUGAAAGCCCGGGGCUCAACCCCGGGUCGGCCGUCGAUACUCUCGUGCUUGAGCACUGUAGAGGCAGGUGGAAUUCCCUGUGUAGCGGUGAAAUGCGUAGAGAUGGGGGAGAACACUCGUGGCGAAGGCGGCCAGCUAGACCAGUUCUGACACUGAGGCGCGACAGCGUGGGGAGCAAACAGG
rnacentral:rRNA from 1 species